rnacentral:rRNA from 1 species
GUCCUUUUGAUUAUAAUAUAAGGUCUAACCUGCCCACUGAAAAUUUAAAGGGCCGCAGUAUUUUAACUGUGCAAAGGUAGCAUAAUAAUUAGUUUCUUAAUUAGAAGCUGGUAUGAAUGGUUGAACGAGAAAUUAGCUGUCUCAAUUUAUAAGUUAAAAUUUUAUUUUUAAGUUAAAAAGCUUAAAUAAAUUUAAAAGACGAGAAGACCCUAUAGAGUUUUAUAAUUAUUAAAAUUUUAAUUUUAGGAUUUUUGAUAUUUUAAUAAUUAUUUUAUUGGGGUGAUAUAUAAAUUUAAUUAACUUUAUAUUUUUAAUAACAUAAAUUAAUGAUUUUUUGAUCCAUUAUUAAUGAUUAAAAGAAAAAAUUACCUUAGGGAUAACAGCGUAAUUUUUUUUUAGAGUUCUAAUCGAAAGAAAAGAUUGCGACCUCGAUGUUGGAUUAAAGUUAAUUUUUGGUGUAGAAGCUAUAAAAUUAGGUCUGUUCGACCUUUAAAACUUUACAUGAUCUGAGUUUAGACCGGUGUGAGCCAGGUUGGUUUUUAUCUUUAAAUAUUUUAAAUAUUUUAGUACGAAAGGACCAAGUAUUUUUAAAAUUUAAUUUUAAUUGAAUAUUA